UAACAAGGUCUCCGUAGGUGAACCUGCGGAGGGAUCAUUAAAAAAAAGAGUUGCAAGACUCGAAAACCAUCGUGAACAUACCUCUCGUCGUUGCUUCGGCGGGCCGCUCGUCAGGGCGCCCGCCGGAGGACCACCAAACUCUGUUUUCUUAGCGUAUCUCUGAGUGGACCACAAAAAUGAAUCAAAACUUUCAACAACGGAUCUCUUGGUUCUGGCAUCGAUGAAGAACGCAGCGAAAUGCGAUAAGUAAUGUGAAUUGCAGAAUUCAGUGAAUCAUCGAAUCUUUGAACGCACAUUGCGCCCGCCAGUAUUCUGGCGGGCAUGCCUGUCCGAGCGUCAUUUCAACCCCUCAAGCCCUGCUUGGUGUUGGGGCCCCUACGUGCGCCGUAGGCCCCGAAUUCCAGUGGCGGGCUCGCCGCGAACCCGAGCGUAGUAGCUUUUGCCUCGCUCAGGGCCCGCGGCGGGCGCCUGCCGUGAAAGAACCCACUAUUCUAAAGGUUGACCUCGGAUCAGGUAGGAAUACCCGCUGAACUUAAGCAUAUC
rnacentral:rRNA from 1 species